rnacentral:rRNA from 1 species
GAUGAACGCUGGCGGCGUGCCUAAUACAUGCCAGUCGAGCGAACAGACGAGGAGCUUGCUCCUCUGACGUUAGCGGCGGACGGGUGAGUAACACGUGGAUAACCUACCUAUAAGACUGGGAUAACUUCGGGAAACCGGAGCUAAUACCGGAUAAUAUAUUGAACCGCAUGGUUCAAUAGUGAAAGACGGUUUUGCUGUCACUUAUAGAUGGAUCCGCGCCGCAUUAGCUAGUUGGUAAGGUAACGGCUUACCAAGGCAACGAUGCGUAGCCGACCUGAGAGGGUGAUCGGCCACACUGGAACUGAGACACGGUCCAGACUCCUACGGGAGGCAGCAGUAGGGAAUCUUCCGAAAUGGGCGAAAGCCUGACGGAGCAACGCCGCGUGAGUGAUGAAGGUCUUCGGAUCGUAAAACUCUGUUAUUAGGGAAGAACAAAUGUGUAAGUAACUAUGCACGUCUUGACGGUACCUAAUCAGAAAGCCACGGCUAACUACGUG